rnacentral:rRNA from 1 species
GGUGGUGACGUAAGUCGGAUGUGAAAUCUCGGAGCUCAACUCCGAAACGGCAUUGGAAACUGCGUUGCUAGAGGGUUGGAGGGGGGACUGGAAUGCUUGGUGUAGCAGUGAAAUGCGUAGAUAUCAAGCGGAACACCAGUGGCGAAGGCGAGUCCCUGGACAACACCUGACACUGAGGCACGAAAGCUAGGGGAGCAAACAGGAUUAGAUACCCUGGUAGUCCUAGCCGUAAACGGUGCUUGCUUGCUGUAAAAGGAAUCGACCCCUUUUGUGGCGGAGCCAACGCGUUAAGCAAGCCGCCUGGGAAGUACGGUCGCAAGAUUAAAACUCAAAGAAAUUGACGGGGGCCUGCACAAGCGGUGGAGUAUGUGGCUCAAUUCGAUGCAACGCGAAGAACCUUACCUGGCCUUGACAUGCACAUAGUAGAAGGGUGAAAGCCUGACGAGGUAGCAAUACCAGUGUGCACAGGUGCUGCAUGGCUGUCGUCAGCUCGUGUCGUGAGAUGUUGGGUUAAGCCCCGCAACGAGCGCAACCCCUGUGUCCUGUUGCCCCCCGGCCGAAAGGCUGGAGCACUCUGGACAGACUGCCUCGCUUAAACGAGGAGGAAGGUGGGGAUGACGUCAAGUCAGUAUGGCCCUUACGGCCAGGGCUGCACACGUACUACAAUGCCCGGCACAAAGGGAAGCGAGACUGUAAAGUGGAGCAAAUCCCCAAAAACCGGGCCCAGUUCAGAUUGUCGUCUGCAACUCGACGGCAUGAAGCUGGAAUCGCUAGUAAUGGCGCAUCAGCUACGGCGCCGUGAAUACGUUCCCAGGCCUUGUACACACCGCCCGUCACAUCAUGAAAGCCGUUUGUACCCGAAGUCACUGUAUCAACCGCAAGGGGAGAGGUGCCGAAGGUAUGGAUGGUGAUUGGGAUGAAGUCGUAACAAGGUAACC